GACGAACGCUGGCGGCGUGCUUAACACAUGCAAGUCGAACGGAAAGGCCCUGCUUUUGUGGGGUGCUCGAGUGGCGAACGGGUAGGUAACACGUGAGUAACCUGCCCUUGACUUUGGGAUAACUUCAGGAAACUGGGGCUAAUACCGGAUAGGAGCUCCUGCUGCAUGGUGGGGGUUGGAAAGUUUCGGCGGUUGGGGAUGGACUCGCGGCUUAUCAGCUUGUUGGUGGGGUAGUGGCUUACCAAGGCUUUGACGGGUAGCCGGCCUGAGAGGGUGACCGGCCACAUUGGGACUGAGAUACGGCCCAGACUCCUACGGGAGGCAGCAGUGGGGAAUAUUGCACAAUGGGCGGAAGCCUGAUGCAGCAACGCCGCGUGCGGGAUGACGGCCUUCGGGUUGUAAACCGCUUUCGCCUGUGACGAAGCGUGAGUGACGGUAAUGGGUAAAGAAGCACCGGCUAACUACGUG
rnacentral:rRNA from 1 species